UUCAUGCGGCAGCAUAUUGCUGGAUUGCGGGAGGACUUAUAGGUUUUUACCCCUUUUCAUUUUUAUGGUGCUUUGGAG
rnacentral:pre_miRNA from 1 species